rnacentral:rRNA from 1 species
CCUACGGGGGGCAGCAGUGGGGAAUAUUGGACAAUGGGCGAAAGCCUGAUCCAGCCAUGCCGCGUGUGUGAAGAAGGCCUUCGGGUUGUAAAGCACUUUCAGUGGGGAAGAAAGCCUUGGGGCUAAUACCCUCGAGGAAGGACAUCACCCACAGAAGAAGCACCGGCUAACUCCGUGCCAGCAGCCGCGGUAAUACGGAGGGUGCGAGCGUUAAUCGGAAUUACUGGGCGUAAAGCGCGCGUAGGCGGUCUGAUAAGCCGGUUGUGAAAGCCCCGGGCUCAACCUGGGAACGGCAUCCGGAACUGUCAGGCUAGAGUGCAGGAGAGGAAGGUAGAAUUCCCGGUGUAGCGGUGAAAUGCGUAGAGAUCGGGAGGAAUACCAGUGGCGAAGGCGGCCUUCUGGACUGACACUGACGCUGAGGUGCGAAAGCGUGGGUAGCAAACAGGAUUAGAUACCCUAGUAGC